GGUGAACGCUGGCGGCGUGCUUAACACAUGCAAGUCGAACGGUGAACGAGGGAGCUUGCUCCCUCCGGAUCAGUGGCGAACGGGUGAGUAACACGUGAGCAAUCUGCCCUGGACUCUGGGAUAAGCGUUGGAAACGACGUCUAAUACCGGAUACGAGACGUGAAGGCAUCUUCAACGUCUGGAAAGAACUUCGAUCCAGGAUGAGCUCGCGGCCUAUCAGGUAGUUGGUGAGGUAAUGGCUCACCAAGCCUACGACGGGUAGCCGGCCUGAGGGGGUACCCGACCACACUGGGACUGAGACACGGCCCAGACUCGUACGGGAGGCAGCAGUGGGGAAUAUUGCACAAUGGGCGAAAGCCUGAUGCAGCACCGCCGCGUGAGGGACGACGGCUUUCGGGUUGUAAACCUCUUUUAGCAGGGAAGAAGCGAAAGUGACGGUACCUGCAAAAAAAGCACCGGCUAACUACGUGCCAGCAGCCGAAGUAA
rnacentral:rRNA from 1 species